CCUUUUGACAAUAAAUAGAGAACGAAGUAUGCACUUCAUUGUUUUUUUCAGCUUUCUCAGCAAGGAAGAUUGGCCUCUCUACUUUGGAAGACUUUUGUCUAUGGUUUAUGCAUGUAAGAGCCUUCCCACCUGCUUUCUACAAGCUGGAUGAAAUAUAUCCAUAAUGAUCUGUUUAAAGGACUUGGAGAGUGCCUGUUUUUAUGAGCAUUAAUUGCUUUCAGUGGGACUACUCAUUAGUAAAGCUCUUUUGGAUGGCUGUCGUCCAGAAACAAGACAACAUGAGCUAAUCUCCGUAGGGAAUGGGACAUCACAUCCUGACCUUGAUAUACAGGUAAGCUUUUUUCAGUCAUCACAUAACAAUUCACUGGCACAAAAAAUAAUCAGCAGGCAUCUUUUUGUAAUGUAUGACAGACUAGAGAGGGAGUGGUGCCCAAUUCACAGAACAGCAGUGCAUUCUCAAAUCAAUCUAUAACUUGUGAUAAUGUUUUGCUCAAAAUCUUUUCUGGAAAAGGGUAUCCCCGGACAGCUACAGAUCAGAAAAUACUUCCUCAUUAUCCACCAGAAACUAUGAACAAACUCCUUG
rnacentral:lncRNA from 1 species